rnacentral:rRNA from 1 species
GAUGAACGCUGGCGGCGUGCCUAAUACAUGCAAGUCGAGCGAACAGAUGAGGAGCUUGCUCCUCUGACGUUAGCGGCGGACGGGUGAGUAACACGUGGAUAACCUCCCUAUAAGACUGGGAUAACUUCGGGAAACCGGAGCUAAUACCGGAUAAUAUAUUGAACCGCAUGGUUCAAUAGUGAAAGACGGUUUUGCUGUCACUUAUACAUGGAUCCGCGCCGCAUUAGCUAGUUGGUAAGGUAACGGCUUACAAAGGCAACGAUGCGUAGCCGACCUGAGAGGGGGACCGGCCACACGGGAACUGAGACACGGCCCAGACUCCUACGGGAGGCAGCAGGAGGGAAUCUUCCGCAAGGGGCGAAAGCCGGACGGAGCAACGCCGCGUGAGUGAUGAAGGUCUUCGGAUCGUAAAACUCUGUUAUUAGGGAAGAACAAAUGUGUAAGUAACUAUGCACGUCUUGACGGUACCGAAUCAGAAAGCCACGGCUAACUACGUG